AACGAACGCUGGCGGCAGGCUUAACACAUGCAAGUCGAACGGUUGUAGCAAUACAGCAGUGGCAGACGGGUGAGUAACACGUGGGAACCUUCCUAGGGGUACGGAACAACUCAGGGAAACUUGAGCUAAUACCGUAUACGUCCGUGAGGAGAAAGAUUUAUCGCCCUUAGACGGGCCCGCGUCGGAUUAGCUAGUUGGUGGGUUAAAGGCCUACCAAGGCGACGAUCCGUAGCUGAUCUUAGAGGAUGAUCAGCCACACUGGGACUGAGACACGGCCCAGACUCCUACGGGAGGCAGCAGUGGGGAAUCUUGGACAAUGGGCGCAAGCCUGAUCCAGCCAUGCCGCGUGAGUGAAGAAGGUCUUCGGAUUGUAAAGCUCUUUUGCCAGGGACGAUAAUGACGGUACCUGGAGAAUAAGCCCCGGCAAACUUCGUGCCAGCCGCCGCAGUAA
rnacentral:rRNA from 1 species